ensembl:lncRNA LINC02693 long intergenic non-protein coding RNA 2693
GCGCCCGGCCGGCGUGGCUGGCUGUUUGAGGACUGCGCGCGGAGCUCCGUGGCGGGUGUCUGAAGUCGUGAGUUUACUGCUUGUAAGGAACAUAGCGAUCACUGGGAACCUGGAAGUAGAGACUCCUUUCUGCCAUCCAUCCGUCCCUCGGGCUGCUGCGAAUCCCCCCGCCGGCCUCCAGGACCCCGGGCUGACUGAACGCCCGCACCGGUCCCGCCGCCCCAGGGCCCGCUACGCGCCCGGCAUAAUGGGAGAAAAAUCACGACGGAAAGGCCCAGCCCCUCGCCAUGCAGACGGGAAGCUUGGCCGCACGUGUGAUCACCCUUACGCCCCUUGGAGUUUCACCCCCUCUUCGCGGGCUCCAACAGCCUGGGUCAGGCCUCCUUGUCCUGUGUGGGCCUCUCGGCUGCAAGAACACAGUCCCGAGCCCCGGCGAGCCCGCGCGCCUCCCACCCGCCGUGCACAGGCUGCACUUUACGCCCCAGCACUGCGCCUGCGGGACCAUCUGGAUCGCUUUUCCAUUCUGAUGACGUCCUGUACUUCGUGGCUGCAGGCUCCUCAAGCCCCAGGUCUGUGCAGAGACGAGCAAAGCAGCAGAAUAUCCGUGCCACAGCUUUCUGGAGCACCCAUUUUACUACCAGAUUUGGAAGGAACGAAGUUAAGUAAUUUCCAAGAAUCAUCUCCCCUGCCCCACAAACAUGAAAGAAAAGACAAGAGAAGCACCCCAGAAGAGGAGGGGAGAAGUGCCCCAGAAAAAAUCAUCCAGUCUCUGAAGCUUUGCCCAGGCCUCCCCCGACGCCCUUCUCUCCUCGCCUUUCCCCCUUCUCCUCUCCCAAAUUCUAGUUGCCCAUCUGCUUGGUUGGGCUGCUGGUCGAUCUGAUCAGCUUUCUGAGGCCACAUCAAAACUGCAGAAAUGAGGCUGAUCGACCCAGCAACUCUAACAAAGAUCAUCCAUGGGACAUCUGGUCGCCCCUCUAUCUCGGAGCCAGAGGCUAUACGCUCUUCCCCGGUGGGGAGGGUGGGGCCCCAAAGUCCAACCACAAGAUCCCAUUAUGCGGGCCACGGCUAAAUCCACUGCGCCUUCCCCGUUUUUCUCGUACUGCCCAAGCCAGUCUCCACCUCCAAAACAAGACUCAGAAAAAGGUGUGAAGCUCAAGUCGGAUGACCAUGACCCACGCGUGGCCACGGACGGGCCCAUGCUACCCUUCGCAGUCCUCCUGGAACAGCCGGGCCGGUCCUCACCUCCGGGUCGGGGCUUGGAGAUAAUGGGUGUAAUGGAAGGCCUGAGGACCGGGCCCCACGCCAGUCAGCGUCCGGGCGGGAUACCCCAUCCCCCGUUCACACUCUCGGAAGGCCCAGCGAUUCCCGCGUGUACUAAUUGACCCGCUCAGGCCACAGCACUCCGAGCUCAAGAGCGCGCCUACAACGCUGACCCUCAGGUUUAAUCUCCGACGAAAGGACGAAGAGUACACCCAGCAAAGCCGGGCUCAUCCUGCCAGCGCUGCCAGUCCCCUGGAACUCUGCACCGCGCCCUGUGGCCAAAUCCCCUUUCUUGCCGGCUUCGCCAGAGCGCCGGAGAGAAAACCUUAACAGUGCAGCCAGGUGGCGCCCGACAGCCGGCGCCAGCGGCCGCGGAUCGGAUCCGCAUCUCCGGCGGGCGAGGCCUCUCCUAGUCCCUGACCAACUGGGAUCGCGUUUCUCGGCCUGGGGCGGGUGAAGGAGCUCCCAGUUGGCACCGCCUGGAAUGGCGCGACCCCGCAGCCGAAGGAGACUUGAAAAUUUUUCCUAACUACCGUUCUGCUCCGAGUGACUGCUACCUGCGAGGACAGACAGCCCACGCGGCUCCGGGCCGGGCGAUCUUCCGCGGGAACCGGGAACGUUUCCGAAGACCCCCGCAGGCCGGCGCCCUGCCUCGGCUUCCCAGCGCAGCGGGGUCCCGGGCUCCUCGCGGAUUAGAAAGUUUUGCUGGGCUCUGGCGGCGGGAGAGACAGUGAAGUUGAAACCGUGAAAGGGAGAACAUGGGUGAAUCGCUUUUAUUCUGUCUUUUCGGAAUGGGGAAGCCUUUCUAAAGCAUUAAAUAAACCCAGAAGCCAUCAAGGAAAUGAUUGAUCGGCUUGACAACAUAAAGUUUGAACAAAAUACACAAGCAAAGUCAAAAGAUAACAAAUGAGUGUGGGGAUCGCUUAUGCAUAAGAUAAGAAUAUUGAUUUCAUUCACAGUAGCCAAGAUACGGAAGCAACCUAGCCAAGAUAUGGAAGCAUCUACUAGUGGCUGAACGGAUAAAGAAAAUGUGGUGUAUGUACACCACGGGGUACUGUCCCGCCUUUGAAUAAAAGGAAAUCCUGCCAUUGGCGACAACAUGGAUGAACGUGGAGGUCAUUGUACUAAGAAAAGUAAGCCAGGCACAGAAACAAAUACCACCUGGUCUCUCCUGUAUGUGGAAUCUGAAAAUAGUUGAACUCAUAGAAACGGAGAGUAGAACGGUGGCUACUUGAGGCCGGGGGAAGGGCAGGAGGGGGAAGAUGUUAGUCAAAGGGUACAAGGAUUCAGUUAGACAAGAGGAAUAUGUUUUAGUGAUCCACAUGGCACGGUGACUGUAGUUAAUGCAUUUUAUAUGUCAAAAUUCCUUAAAUAGUAGAUUUUAAAUAAUCUCACCACAAAAAAAUAGAUGUGUUGGUGAUGGAUAUCUUAAUUAGCUUAAAGUAAUUGUUCCACCAAUGUAUACAUAUAUCAAAACAUCACAUUGUAUCCCAUGAAUAUAUAC